UACGUAGGGCGCAAGCGUUAUCCGGAAUUAUUGGGCGUAAAGAGCUCGUAGGCGGUUUGUCGCGUCUGCCGUGAAAGUCCGGGGCUCAACUCCGGAUCUGCGGUGGUACGGGCAGACUAGAGUGAUGUAGGGGAGACUGGAAUUCCUGGUGUAGCGGUGAAAUGCGCAGAUAUCAGGAGGAACACCGAUGGCGAAGGCAGGUCUCUGGGCAUUAACUGACGCUGAGGAGCGAAAGCAUGGGGAGC
rnacentral:rRNA from 1 species